rnacentral:rRNA from 1 species
UACGUAGGCGGAAUAAUAAGUCAGUGGUGAAAUCCUGCGGCUCAACCGUAGAACUGCCAUUGAAACUGUUAUUUUUGAAUGUAGUUGAGGUAGGCGGAAUGUGUAAUGUAGCGGUGAAAUGCUUAGAUAUUACACAGAACACCGAUUGCGAAGGCAGCUUACUAAACUAUGAUUGACGCUGAUGUACGAAAGCGUGGGGAGCGAACAGGAUUAGAUACCCUGGUAGUCC